rnacentral:rRNA from 1 species
AUACGUAGGGAGCGAGCGUUGUCCGGAAUUACUGGGUGUAAAGGGUGCGUAGGCGGGACGGCAAGUCAGAUGUGAAAUACCGGGGCUCAACCCCGGGGCUGCAUUUGAAACUGUCGUUCUUGAGUGAGGUAGAGGUAAGCGGAAUUCCUAGUGGAGCGGUGAACUGCGUAGAUAUUAGGAGGAACAUCGGUGGCGAAGGCGGCUUACUGGGCCUUUACUGACGCUGAGGCACGAAAGCGUGGGGAGCAAACAGGAUUAGAUACCCUGGUAGUCCACGCUGUAAACGAUGAUGACUAGGUGUGGGGGGACUGAACCCUUCCGUGCCGCAGUUAACACAAUAAGUCAUCCACCUGGGGAGUACGGCCGCAAGGUUGAAACUCAAAUGAAUUGACGGGG